UACGUAGGGGGCAAGCGUUGUCCGGAAUUAUUGGGCGUAAAGAGCGCGUAGGCGGUCCGAUAAGUCGGCUGUGAAAGUCAGGGGCUCAACCCUUGAAAGCCGGCCGAUACUGUCGGACUAGAGUCCGGAAGAGGCAAGUGGAAUUCCCGGUGUAGCGGUGAAAUGCGUAGAGAUCGGGAGGAACAUCUGUGGCGAAGGCGGCCAUCUGGACCAGCACUGACACUGAGGCACGAAAGCGUGGGGAGCAAACAGG
rnacentral:rRNA from 1 species